AGUAGCCAAAGAUCACACCGGGAUUAAGAGUUGGGUUGGAGAUGAUACGCACGUCACCGCCACCGGGUGCCCAAGUAUCGUACACACCACCAAAGAACAUUGCCUUAAAAACAAGAAGCAAAGCGCCACAACCAAGAAGGAUGAGGUGAUAACCAAUGAUGUUAGUCAUUUGGUUUUUGUCUUUCCA
rnacentral:antisense_RNA from 1 species